rnacentral:rRNA from 1 species
GGGUUGUGAGGUUAAGCGACUAAGCGUACACGGUGGAUGCCCUGGCAGUCAGAGGCGAUGAAGGGCGUGCUAAUCUGCGAUAAGCGCCGGUAAGGUGAUAUGAACCGUUAUAACCGGCGAUACCCGAAUGGGGAAACCCAGUGUGAUUCGUCACACUAUCAUUAACUGAAUCCAUAGGUUAAUGAGGCGAACCGGGGGAACUGAAACAUCUAAGUACCCCGAGGAAAAGAAAUCAACCGAGAUUCCCCCAGUAGCGGCGAGCGAACGGGGAGGAGCCCAGAGCCUGAAUCAGCAUGUGUGUUAGUGGAAGCGUCUGGAAAGGCGCGCGAUACAGGGUGACAGCCCCGUACACAAAAGCGCACAUGCUGUGAGCUCGAUGAGUAGGGCGGGACACGUGGUAUCCUGUCUGAAUAUGGGGGGACCAUCCUCCAAGGCUAAAUACUCCUGACUGACCGAUAGUGAACCAGUACCGUGAGGGAAAGGCGAAAAGAACCCCGGCGAGGGGAGUGAAAAAGAACCUGAAACCGUGUACGUACAAGCAGUGGGAGCACCCUUUGGGGUGUGACUGCGUACCUUUUGUAUAAUGGGUCAGCGACUUAUAUUCUGUAGCAAGGUUAACCGUAUAGGGGAGCCGCAGGGAAACCGAGUCUUAACCGGGCGUUAAGUUGCAGGGUAUAGACCCGAAACCCGGUGAUCUAGCCAUGGGCAGGUUGAAGGUUGGGUAACACUAACUGGAGGACCGAACCGACUAAUGUUGAAAAAUUAGCGGAUGAUCUGUGGCUGGGGGUGAAAGGCCAAUCAAACCGGGAGAUAGCUGGUUCUCCCCGAAAGCUAUUUAGGUAGCGCCUCGUGAACUCAUCUCCGGGGGUAGAGCACUGUUUCGGCUAGGGGGCCAUCCCGGCUUACCAACCCGAUGCAAACUGCGAAUACCGGAGAAUGUUAUCACGGGAGACACACGGCGGGUGCUAACGUCCGUCGUGAAGAGGGAAACAACCCAGACCGCCAGCUAAGGUCCCAAAGUCAUGGUUAAGUGGGAAACGAUGUGGGAAGGCCCAGACAGCCAGGAUGUUGGCUUAGAAGCAGCCAUCAUUUAAAGAAAGCGUAAUAGCUCACUGGUCGAGUCGGCCUGCGCGGAAGAUGUAACGGGGCUAAACCAUGCACCGAAGCUGCGGCAGCGACGCUGAUGCGUUGUUGGGUAGGGGAGCGUUCUGUAAGCCUGUGAAGGUGGCCUGUGAGGGUUGCUGGAGGUAUCAGAAGUGCGAAUGCUGACAUAAGUAACGAUAAAGCGGGUGAAAAGCCCGCUCGCCGGAAGACCAAGGGUUCCUGUCCAACGUUAAUCGGGGCAGGGUGAGUCGACCCCUAAGGCGAGGCCGAAAGGCGUAGUCGAUGGGAAACGGGUUAAUAUUCCCGUACUUGGUGUUACUGCGAAGGGGGGACGGAGAAGGCUAUGUUGGCCGGGCGACGGUUGUCCCGGUUUAAGCGUGUAGGCUGGUUUUCCAGGCAAAUCCGGAAAAUCAAGGCUGAGGCGUGAUGACGAGGCACUACGGUGCUGAAGCAACAAAUGCCCUGCUUCCAGGAAAAGCCUCUAAGCAUCAGGUAACAUCAAAUCGUACCCCAAACCGACACAGGUGGUCAGGUAGAGAAUACCAAGGCGCUUGAGAGAACUCGGGUGAAGGAACUAGGCAAAAUGGUGCCGUAACUUCGGGAGAAGGCACGCUGACAUGUAGGUGAAGUGAUUUACUCAUGGAGCUGAAGUCAGUCGAAGAUACCAGCUGGCUGCAACUGUUUAUUAAAAACACAGCACUGUGCAAACACGAAAGUGGACGUAUACGGUGUGACGCCUGCCCGGUGCCGGAAGGUUAAUUGAUGGGGUCAGCG